rnacentral:rRNA from 1 species
CUGUAUGAAUGGCAUAACGAGGGUUUAACUGUCUCCCUCCCCCAGUCAAUGAAAUUGAUCUGCCCGUGCAGAAGCGGACAUAAACACAUAAGACGAGAAGACCCUAUGGAGCUUUAGACAAAAGAUCAAACAUGUAAAGAAACCAAACCAACCAAAAGGAACACAAAGGCCACAAAACCCAACGUAAAAUGAUCAAAAUGUCUUCGGUUGGGGCGACCAUGGGGGAAAGAAAAGCCCCCACGAGGAACUAAGGGCAAUCCAUUAAGCCAAGAGAUACACCUCUAAGCAACAGAAAAUCUGACCAAAAAUGACCCAGGACACUAAUCCUGAUCAACGAACCAAGUUACCCUAGGGAUAACAGCGCAAUCCUUUCCCAGAGUCCAUAUCGACGAAAGGGUUUACGACCUCGAUGUUGGAUCAGGACAUCCUAAUGGUGCAGCCGCUAUUAAGGGUUCGUUUGUUCAACGAUUAACAGUCCUACGUGAUCUAG